GGCUACUCAUCUAGGCAGGCUCGUCUCCUCGGAGCUGUAAGACACCCGUGUAUUCUCUUAGGCGGAGGACAGCCGAGCGACCGGAGUGACAGCAAAGGAAAGGCGGAGAGCGGGAGAAAGAAGCGUCUGCGCUGGCAAGCUCUCCCGGCAGCGCUGAGAGCCAGAGCUGCGGUGCUGCUGCGCCGAUGCUCCGUACGUUCGCAGUAACGGGUAGAGCGGAAGGCUCCGUGGCCAGGGAAGAGCGGCACGGACACGUUCCUGCUCGCUCCGUUGCACCGGAAUUUCGACGGCUGGGUUCGGCCGCUAAAUUGAUGGCGCUACCGGAAGAAAUUUCAGAAAAAAAGGGUGGCUUUUUCGUCGAUCUCUUUGUGAGAGUAUCAAAUCAGGCGGCGGUAAAUACGUAGAAGCAACUAGGCGUACUACGGCGUGUACCGGACAGCGUUGGCGUGCCGCUCUGCUAGCAGCGGAGAGCCAGAUGAGGAUGCCCGUGGUAAGUACUCGUUCUGCCUCCGGCUGAACGGAAAGAUUCUCAUGUGGAGGGUUCCUGGGCUUGUCUGUGUGAUUAGCAUUACUUUUUUUUUUUUUUUUUUUUUUUUUUAAUAUGAAACAGGGUCAGAUAAUUGUUGAUGAGUGGGACUUUGCGUACUCCUUUAGGUAGUUUUUCGUACUGAACCUUAGAUCGGUUACAAAACUUAAUCUUUGUGCAGUUUACACGUUUUGUAGCAACUACAAAGACAUUUAUCCUGUAGGUAAGCUGAAAAUAAAAAUGCGGUUUCUCACCUGAUUUUUCUUUCGGAGGAACGCUCGCCCCCAGCGGCUGGUUUUUUUUGCUAGUGUUGUCGGGGGGAAGGAACGGCGGCGCUUGCCUGGUUUCUUCCCCUAGCCAGGGACCUGAAACUUUGUUUUCCUCAGCUGUUUCACUAGAAAUUUACAAGUGUCGG